GAUGAACGCUGGCGGCGUGCCUAAUACAUGCAAGUCGAGCGAACGGACGAGAAGCUUGCUUCUCUGAUGUUAGCGGCGGACGGGUGAGUAACACGUGGAUAACCUGCCUAUAAGACUGGGACAACUUCGGGAAACCGGAGCUAAUACCGGAUAAUAUUUUGAACCGCAUGGUUCAAAAGUGAAAGACGGUCUUGCUGUCACUUAUAGAUGGAUCCGCGCUGCAUUAGCUAGUUGGUAAGGUAACGGCUUACCAAGGCAACGAUGCAUAGCCGACCUGAGAGGGUGAUCGGCCACACUGGAACUGAGACACGGUCCAGACUCCUACGGGAGGCAGCAGUAGGGAAUCUUCCGCAAUGGGCGAAAGCCUGACGGAGCAACGCCGCGUGAGUGAUGAAGGUCUUCGGAUCGUAAAACUCUGUUAUUAGGGAAGAACAUAUGUGUAAGUAACUGUGCACAUCUUGACGGUACCUAAUCAGAAAGCCACGGCUAACUACGUG
rnacentral:rRNA from 1 species